GGGAAUAUUGGACAAUGGGCGCAAGCCUGAUCCAGCAAUGCCGCGUGGGUGAAGAAGGUCUUCGGAUUGUAAAGCCCUUUCGGCGGGGACGAUGAUGACGGUACCCGCAGAAGAAGCCCCGGCUAACUUCGUGCCAGCAGCCGCGGUAAUACGAAGGGGGCUAGCGGUGCUCGGAAUGACUGGGCGUAAAGGGCGCGUAGGCGGUUCACACAGUCAGGCGUGAAAUUCCUGGGCUCAACCUGGGGGCUGCGUUUGAUACGUGUGGACUAGAGUGGGGAAGAGGGUCGUGGAAUUCCCAGUGUAGAGGUGAAAUUCGUAGAUAUUGGGAAGAACACCGGUGGCGAAGGCGGCGACCUGGUCCUUGACUGACGCUGAGGCGCGAAAGCGUGGGGAGCAAA
rnacentral:rRNA from 1 species